AUGAGUCCUAUGGCUACAGUUGAAGGACUCCAUCUGCUGGAUGAUGACACAGGCACAUCAAGAUGUAGGAAGACACUUGUAACAACUGUCAGCUUCAUUUGAGUGCUGCGGACUAACACCAGACAGCCCCUUCUGCUGGAGGCAGCAGACCAGAUGACUUUGAGGACGUCCCUUCUAGCGCAGUCAUGCAGCUCUGGUCCGCAGGGAAA